AAGUCGUAACAAGGUUUCCGUAGGUGAACCUGCGGAAGGAUCAUUAACACGUAUCCAAACGUUAACCCCCUGUGAACCUUCAAUGUGCUCGUACACUUUGUCAAAGCGAGGCAAUCCCUGGUAAAUCAUCGCCGAACAGUUUUGAUUCUGGGACUUCCUCAAAGAGUGUGCAUGUUGCGCGAGGCAAGUGGCCUGGCGCAAGCCCCUUUAUCACCACUUGAUGCAUGACAGACGCGCCAGCGCUUAAUUGUGCGGCGACCAAAAACCGAACAACUGUUAACAAUGGAUAUCUUGGUUCUC
rnacentral:misc_RNA from 1 species